UCAAACGGCUCCUACGCAGUUAACAUUACAUUCAGCAUCAGUAACAUCAGCAUGCCGAGCAACCCUGACCUCAGGAACAAUACCUACACCCAAGUGGAGAACAUCAUCAAUAACACUGUAAACACACUUCUACAAAAUUCUGGUUCAGAUCCCUUAAAACCCACUACCUCCAACUUCACGAUUUCAGAGAAUGAAGUUACUGGUUACAUGGAAUACAUUCUCCAAAACUCUAGGAAUG